CCCAUUACUGUGGGAUAACCUGCCGAAAGGCAGACUAAUACCGCAUAGUCUUCGAUGACGGCAUCAGAUUUGAAGUAAAGAUUUAUCGGUAAUGGAUGGGGAUGCGUCUGAUUAGCUUGUUGGCGGGGUAACGGCCCACCAAGGCGACGAUCAGUAGGGGUUCUGAGAGGAAGGUCCCCCACAUUGGAACUGAGACACGGUCCAAACUCCUACGGGAGGCAGCAGAA
rnacentral:rRNA from 1 species